ensembl:lncRNA
AGGGUUCGGGGUUAGGGUCCAGGGUUCGGGUUUCGGGUCCAGGGUUAGGGUCCAGGGUUCGGGUUUAGGGUUUGGGGUUAGGGUUUAGGGUCCAGGGUUCGGGUUUAGGGUCCAGGGUUUGGGUUUCGGGUCCAGGGUUCGGGUUUAGGGCCCAGGGUUCAGGUUUAGGGGUUAGGAUUCAGGGUUAUGCUGUUAUGCUGCAUCUUUCGGGUUAUUUCCCCCUCGUUACAUGGAACGUUUUUCUCUUUUUAACCACAUUGCUUUCUCUCCCUCACUCAUCCAUUGAUCACUACUCGCAUCGGUGUUCACAUCAUACUGUGAUUAAUGCAGUUAUAUAAGACAGAAGUGCUGUGUACGAUGUAUGUACAGUAUGGUUUCGGGACAGAGGAUGUCGCAUGUGCACAGACUGUAAAGCUCUUUGAGGCAUAUUUGUAAUUUGCCAUUUUAGGCUAUACAAAAUGAAAUGAAUUGAAUUGAAUUAAUGGCAUCAAAGCAGUCGUGUCCUUAUUUCUACAUGUAAACCUUUAACAAUGUCCAGAACCUACUUAACUACCUAAUGACGUGUGUUGAUGUGUCAAACGGCCAUCGUUUAAUCUCCUUCUAUGUAAAGUCAUAUUUGAGCAAUGGGACAUCUGGAGCUCCCGUUCUGCCAUAGCAACAUAUAAUCCUACCAGCGAUCAGAUUAGAGCCGAAGCAGCCAAUCACACGCUACACUUACUCUCUAACUGGGUUAGAUUGGUGCUAGCUUUUGUUACCACAAAAUGCAAAUGUCUUGUCCCCCCCUCACCUAAUGCUCUGUCAAGCUAAACGGGCCCCCAGGCUAAGUUAAGCGCGCUGGAGGAAGGAUGUUGCGAGAGGGUCAGAUGUUACUAUUAACAAACACAAUGCAUUCAGUGAUCAUUUUAUCCAAGGCCUGAAUGACAUGUUCUUUGAAGUUAUUUUACGUGAUGCUGCGCCUCAGUUUUUAAGUCUUCCACGAGACACGCUGAGCAGGAACAUUCUGAGCUCAAAGCUCACACGCGGCUGCAGACCUUCCGGCGGGCGAAAGACGAGUCUGUCUCUGUACACUCUGAGGUGUUUUAAGCAUCACGAGGGUAUUGGUGAGGCCUUUGGGAGGGAGGGAGCGGCGGGGCUGCAGUGCACCAGCUGGGUGCCCAGAUGGAGCGGAUCCUCCUUCAGAGAUUCCAGCUGGAGCUUUCUGGACACACGAAAAAGCGAGGGGCAGAAAGCAGCACUAACUGACCGCACCUGAUCCCUGCUGAGCGCACCAGCCCCCCCCCCCCCGUUUACUCCAUCUUUCACUCCAGACGAACAGCUCCUCCAUUGCCCUCCUAUCUGUGUUCUGCUCUUUUCUUUGGAACAUCUGAGAGGGCUUUGCUCUUUCACUCCAUCGCUACGGCGUCAUCACAGACACAGAUUCCUAAGCAGCCCACCUGUUGGAAGAAGAACACUGGACCCCAGUGUUGGGGGAGAACCUCGUCUCUCUUCCUCUAACAGACACCUUUCCUCCACGGGCAUUCGGUGGGAACCAUCACCAUCAAAUAAGGCGUAAUGUCCACCAUUUCAACCUUGACCCACACAGUGUCUACCCACAUCAUUCCUCCCGUUCACACACAGGCAGCGCACACCGCUUAACAGAGCGCCAUUGUCACAAAAUUCACAGGAAUACUCAGCCCCCCCCCCCGAGACACACACACACACACACACACACCACUGCCAGUGAACAGCCCCCUCUCUGAUAAGUGCUGAGAGACAAACAAUGACCACGUUUACAUACAGAUUCAUAUUCCACUCAUUCAUUAUUCACAAUAUCACAAAUUAGAAAUGAGUCAGCCUCACAUUCCGUGGUACACGGAGAUAUUACUGUGGUUUGAGGAGCAUCCUCUGACAAAAUGAGUCUCAAUAAAAGGUUUUCACGGCACCUUGUGACACACAACUUCUUUCCUGUUUACGCACAAACCAACGAGCCAAAGAUCUCUGUCUCAAGCCACGGUGGUGGAAGGAAUUAAAUAAGAGGGAGGCUGUUUUCUCCCCAUACCGAGGCCCUGCUGGACAACGCGUCUCCAUUCGCCUGCUCAUCCUGUGCAGUGUGGCAUGUCCCAGCAUGCAGUGCGUCAGUGGCAGAGUGCACCACAGAGCCAGCAUGUACUUUACGGGCAGAACACUCAGACUGACGCCAGUUAUCGAUCGACCCAACGCGCAUGUCUUUGGACUGGAGGGAGAAGAACAUAGAAACUCCACAACUUACAAAAUACCGUUGUAUUUGAAUGUAUUACUGACAUAAUGGUAGUAUAUUCUUGUGUUUUUUCAGGGAACAGGCUGUACAAAGGAAGGAGACUGAAAAGGACGCAGCGACCAGGAGAGGAAUAAUUCGAGAGAACCUUCAACACUUUCAACCCAUAAACGAGCACCGUUGGGAGUGUCGGUGGACUCCAUCUGAGGCCAACUCAUCACAUGCACCACGUUCCUUCAGCCGCCCGCUGACGGAGGGAAAACGAGGGACAGUUUUCCCCUCAGAGAGUAUUUGUGGGAGAGAAAGAAAGAGAGAAAGAGAGAAGACCAUUAAAUGGGAACUAACAAGGUGUUUAGUGUUACACAUGCGCCCAAAGCUACAGCUGCAACAGUGAGAACAAACAGCGAGAGAACAGAUAUCGGACAGCGCCAUGAGACCGGACUUUACUGAUGUCCCUGCAGCACACACACAGAGACAGAAAUCAAACACAGGAAUCUUGCAGGGGAAAGAAAUAUUCAGAGGGACCUGCGGACAUAAAGGUUUGACCGAUGAAUUGCUUGGACCCAAGUGACGCUCCAGGUAUAACCGUUGCUACCGACGAAGGCAGAACACUGAAUCAACACCCAAACGAUGCCAGCUUCAGCGGUUAUGUGUUAUGACGACAAUGGAACAUUGCAGCACGGAUAAUAAAUAUAAACCGCAGUAUAAGCCAGUGAUUUGUACACUGAUAUCAAUCAGUGAGAUGUCAACAAAAACUGACAUAUGGAUCCAUAUUGAUCGCAGCUGGUGUUUAUUUACUAUAUAAUCUAAACUAGUAGCAAAAUGUAACUCUGGGUCAUCAGACUAAAUCCUCUCAUCCCUUCCAUAAAAAAGUACUUUCAUGGUGCUAAAUAGGCUCUGUGCAUUGGCUACAGACGCUCAGUAUGUCUCUUAUCGCCAUGGGUGCUUUAGGGUUCAGUGACAUUUCCAGCUAAUAAUCAAUAACCAAGGAUCAACAGACAGACAUUACUGCUAUGCGAUUGGGAACAUUGGACAGAGAGGUGCAAAAGCCUCUGAAUCUGCUGCCUGAAUGUGUCCGCGUGAAGGGAAACCAGCACGAGCUAAUUACUGCUACUCGCUGCUGCCUGAGCCACAAUCCGGCCGCAUGACGCAGGACAUAUAAGGCAAGAGGAGCCCGCUCGACUGGACACAGGAUCCGAUGGGGCGGGGGGCUUAGGUAACAGAGACGUUUAGAAAUGGUGGCAAAGAUUUUUAAAAACUGCUGAUGGUCAACCAUAAGGAGGGUGAGGAAUAGGAAACGGCUUCAUUUCUGAGGAGAUUUUUAUUCUGUAAAGUUAUGGAAACGUACGUAUGGGGUAUGGAGCAGCUCAGUGGCGGUCGGAUGUAGCUUCAGGCUACCGAGGACUUCACAACAUGCAGUUUACGUGCUGGAAAUCCAUUUAUUUGUGUUUCGUGGUCAACUCAAGGCCCGCGGUGGAAUCAUCUUUGGCCCACAGGAUAAUAUUGUACUUUAUAAAUAGCUGCUAUUCCUAAUCAGUCCACCGGGGGUCACUCCGAGUGAGUGAGCGCACGCCACAUAAAGAUGACGGCGCACCAUCCGUGCCCACCCGUCGACCGGACCAUCUCCAAUGAUUCUACUGGCCUGGCCCACUUGAGAUCAAAGUGGGCGGUAUCUGGCCCAAAGGCCGUAACUUUGGAUACCUUUCCUUUCUGGGUAGGUCCAACUUGAGGAUCUCGGGUUGGACCCAGGACACGCAGGAAAUCUAAUAUGUAUUUCUUCAGGCUUCUUGAUUGGUCUGCGGGCACUUGGGUUCAGAGAUUGAAUGAAAAUGAACAUUUUUUUUUUAUGUGCUUUUUUGCCAUUUUGCUAAUUUACUGCCAGAGAUAUAAGUGCACAGCUAGUGGAAAACUGCCUAUUUUCAUAUCUAACUCCUUCAGAGUUGAUUAAGACCAAUACGGAGUCGGUAAUUGGUGGAACAGUGUGAAGACGAACCAAACCAAAUCUUUAAAGGAUCUUGGAGAGUUCACACCCGGCAGCGUGAAUAUACAUAUCGGCAAUCGGCAGUUGUUUGAAAAAUGUUCUGCUGCACUGCAGAAAACGGACGGAUGUAAGGAAAAAGGCCCUAAAUGGCCCUAUGAAUGAAACUCCCUCCCUUUGUCUCCACUGUGACAUUAACAGUGUCUCACGCUGUAUGAUAAUGUAUGUAUGUAAGAGAACUUUCCCUUUGCUUGGAAAAAUUCCAUCACUAAUGACCGGUGACCCCGAUGCCAGCCAGGCCACCACACAAUCCCACAGUAACGAGCCGGGAACAACACCAAGCGAGGAGAACAGCUCAUCACUGCGUGACGGGUGCGAUCAAAGUGCUGAAACUGUCAACGUCCACGAUUCCCAGCAUCCCUCGUUACUAUCCAUCGCUUCUUCCGUCUCCACGAUCGUCGGGAGACUGUAAGCAAGAUGUUUCUGGAAUACUGGGCCACAUUCAAAAGGGCCGUGUUCUCCGUUGAGAGGGAGGACCGACGGUUACAAUGUGCCGUCUGUCACCGAGUGUGCAUAUGUGGGCUGGCAUAUGGAGAUACGUGCAUUCCAGACCGAUGUCUUAUUGUCUCUCUGCCCACCCACCCGUACCCCAUCUCUGCAGGGGGGGGAGGGGGGGGGCGUAAAACUGUCACAGAAGAAAUAUGUGCUGCGGUCCCUGAAAUCACAGGCAAAAUCGUUGAGUGCUUAGUGGAGUGCAGCAUGUGAUCCGCUGGUGGUGGUGGAGAGGGUGGAGAGGAAGGUGUGUCAUUGAACGUAGCACCGUCAAUUCAUCACGCAUUCGUCGCUUCACGUUAGGUGGUUGAACAGCUGGCGCGUUUUGUGUUGGAUCUGACAAGUUGCGUAAUAACCCACGGAGAAGUGCGGGAGAACCUCCCCGCGGUGCCCCGCGGGGCGC